UGGAGUUUGCACGUGCUUUGUCUCUAGGGGCCACCGUACCCACCCACUUGAAACGUAAAGGGAAAUAGGCGGAGCGGUUAGUGCUACGUUUGUGCAGAUUUACGCAGUUAAAAUUAGCGUUUGUGCUGCUACGGUUUUUGAGUUAUUAAACAUUAUUUUAUAGGUCAUUCAAAGGUCACCAUCCCCCCAGACUGCUCCAAAACGGGCCAAAAUGGUCUACUUUUUAGUGCUACGUUUGUGCUGAUUUGUGCAGGAAAAAUUAGCGUUUGUGCUGCUACGGUUUCUGAGAUAUAAUGAUUUUAAUUAUUACGGCCUACGCUGUAUAACACCAGUGUCUGUGGCAGUGAGUUUCAGCAGCUGUGGAAUUAUGCACUUUUAUAGAAGACUGUCCACUUUUUCUAGGCUUUCUGCAUAUUAACUUUAAUUAGUUUACACUUCAUUAACACAAUUUAUUCAGCGGAAAGGUCGAUAUUUCUUUUGUUACCAGUGCAGAAACGUGCACAAGGUUGUUACCUACGUGUAGAAAACUGAAUAUUCCACAGCACCUAGGCCAGGGAUGUUCAACCUGCGGCUCUAAAGCCACAUGUGGCUCUCCGGCCCCUCCACUGUGGCUCCUAUAAGACCAAAUGCUCCUGUCACUCCAUUUCCCAGGUCAUCAUAGCACUCCCACACACACGGAGCUCUCCUGCAGUAUGCAGAGUAAUGGCCCAUCCUUCCAUGGAAAGCAAUUAAUGCCCUCAAAGUGAACGACUUUCCUUGGAGAACCAGGUUGGAGGGAAAUUCAUUUAGUGGAAAUUCUGUUUGGUUUGCAAUAGAUGGAUUGGAGAGUGGCCUGAGGCAGGUAGACUCAGGUUGGCCAAGUCCUGCUUCCACAGCCGUGCCAAGAUGAGCCAUACCAGACUCUUUGAGGACAGAGAUGGCAGGAGGAACAAAUGGCACUUCCCUUGUCAUCCCUUUGCUGAGGUUUGUUGGAUCACACCAUCUGUGGCAAUGGCUUUCACCAGCUGCAGGACUGGGUUUUCACUGUCUUUCAGAACAGCAUUUUGAAAUGUGGAGCUGUCACAGAAGGCACAACAUAAACACUGAAAAAAUGCAUCAAAAGCACAGUUUCAUCUGCAUGCAGCCAUUCAGUACAUGAAGAGAGAUAGGAAGUUCUCUUCCUUUUUUUUUUUUGGGUGGAACAGCUAGGCCCCUCCAGUUCUCAACUGCAUCCCCAUCAGCCGGAAGAAUGUUUGUGGCAGCAUCAGAUCCCACAAACGGAACAAAUCCGCAUAUUUCCCUCGAUGAAGGAAAGAUGAUGAGCAAUGAAGCGAUCGACUCGAACAGGCAAGUUUUCAUGUUUGAAAAGUCCGUGUUUUAUGUUUUUGAACUCAGCUUCAACAGUGGCUGAACUUGCUGUGAUGCUGGCGCUUUGGAAGAGAGGGACCAUUGUUCCUGUCCAGAGUGGUCUGUCUGGAUCUCAUCCACUGAAUCCACUCUCUCACUUUCCUCCGUCUUUAAAAGAACUGAUCGUGGACUUCAGGAAGACAAGGAAACACUUGACCCCUGUUUCAAUCCAGGGGGUCAGUGUUGACAUUGUGGAGGAUUAUAAAUACC